UUCUUUUAAAAAAAUUUGGGUCACACUGGUGAAUCAUUUCAAUGUUUGAAUCAUUUUAGAAGGUCCAGAGGGGCUAUUUCUUUAACACUGGAAAUAAUCAGAGGUUAUACAGUAUUAUACAUAGGAAGGACAAAUAGCUUUAAAAAAGAAACUCCUCCAUCUCUUUUUCUUCUACCAUCUCAAGGACGCUAAGUCUUCACUGAAAAUAAUACACCAUUUUUCAUGACAAAAUUAUCUUCAGACAAAAUUUUAAAGCUCUAGUAAAUUGUGCAAUAGAAUAUCAAGUGCCUAUUCUGUGAGAAAAGUAUGGCAAAGUGUUGUCACAUCCACAGGUGGAAGCAAAUUACAGACAUUUAAAGACGAUUAACAAUACAGGAUGAUUAUAUGUGGCACAAGGAGUCCAGAUAAUCAACAGUAUAAUUGCAGGGGAAGGAAGAAUUGCCUAGAGUCCAGGUGACCAGCCCAUCUUUGGAGGAGGAGUGAUCUCCCAUCAGUGAUUCAACACACCAGCAUUACUUUGAUGUAGAAAGAGAAGACUGAAGGCUUUUUGAACUACAUGCUGACAGGAAUGCAGCUGACAACAUGGUGACCUAGAUCUACUUCCAGGGGUGCUAGAUGAGCAGGAAGACCCACAAAAUUCAAGGCCUUCAGAAGCUGAAUGGACCACUCAUCAAGGAGGAGCUGGAAAAAGCCUUGAUGGAAUCCAGAAAUUCAAGUUCUCAUCCUGGUUCUUUAAUUCAAUAGCUCUAUGACCACAGACAAGUCACUUAGCCACUGGAAUUCAGUUUCCUCAUUGGUAAAAUGUGGUAAGGAAAAGGACUGAUAGUUUAUCUUCACAUAUAGCUCUGAGUUAUCAUUCAUUAAUAAACAUGUCACCACAUUCCCACCAGAGGUGAGGAAGAAUUGGGCUGUUUCCAACCUAAAGAUCAGGAUACCCAUAUCAUUACAAACAAGGUAAGUGUUUUUAUAAUUAUACAUAUUAUAUGAGGCUUUAAACUUAGUAGUGAGUUUUCAUAUUUUUAAUUCUUAAAGUAACUGUGGCAGAGGCAGCUAUAUGGGCAUAUCAAUAUCCAUUAUUCCCCUCUUGCCUAUCAAUUUAUUAGAAAUGGCAAUAUGCCCAGUUAAAAACCAUAUUCCCCAGCCUCCCUUGUAGCUAGAAUGAUCAUGUGACUAAGUUCUAAAAGAUAAAAU